CAUAGCUCAGUGGUAGAGCAUCUGCUUUGCAGUCAGAAGGUCCUAGGUUCUGAAUCGCCACCUUCUGAAAUCCUGGAGA